rnacentral:lncRNA from 1 species
UCAAGAUACCAAGAAUUUCCAUCACUACAAAGCAGGAACACCCCUUGGAGCAAUAACACCCAAAUACCUGAAAUGUGAAGAUGACAAGCAUGAGUAUCCUCUCCUUUUGUGCCUGAAUUUCCUGCUUUAAUCAGAAAAAAAUACUUUUAAAAAGUGCAGGCAAUGGUGAGGUUAAUUUCUUGUUUAAAAUAUUUUAAUUAUCACACUGCAAUGAUGGAAAUAAAUCUGUUCACUCUAGCAAGUAUAUAACAUUAUCACAAAAAGCCAAAGGAAAAGGAAAUGCGUAAGAGAGAAAGGGGAUGAGAGAGAAGCAGGACACAAAAAUUACAGUGCAGGGAACAAGAGCAAAACGAAAAA